CCCCCCUAGCAAUGGGCAAAGAGACACCUUGGUGGUGGUGGUAUUCUUAUAUCAGUCAGGGGCAGAGCAGAAUGCAGUUCUUUGUUUAUCCUCGCUUGAUGCCUGGCUUGGUGGCCAAAACUGUCUUAUACCUAGAGCUCAUAA